rnacentral:sRNA from 2 species
UGCCUAACUCUGCCGCUGCUUGGGAUUCCGUUCGCAAAUUCGUCCGGCAGAGACGGGGAAACCAACAGCGGCAUGCCUUCGGGCAGGCCUUGGGGUGAAGCCGUGCAUCAGCACGGCCGGGUGUCUCCCAUCCGAAUCCGACAGCUAACCUCGCAGGCAGUGGGAGAGG